rnacentral:rRNA from 1 species
CUAAUAAGGGUAAACUAAAUAUUUAGAUCGAGGCGUAAGUAAUUUUUACGAAAAAUAAAAAAAAUUAAGGUGUAACCUUAUUUAUUCCCUCAAAAGAAAACUUAUUUUAAAAAUUAUCAAAUUUUUAAAAUUACAUAAAUAUAAAAGAUUUAUGUAAAAACAAAAGCGAAUUGAAACAUCUUAGUAGCUUGGAAAAAAAUCAAAAGAGAGUUCGAAAGUAAUGGCGAAUGAAAUCGAAUCAGUUUAAGGUUAAUAAUUUUAAAAUAAUGAAAUGUCGCCCAUUUGAAACAAAGUAAAUAAUUAAGACUUGUAAUUGCAAAAUUAUUUUCCGUUGAUCGAAGCGUAAGAAACUAUGUUUCGUUGUAGAAUUAACUACUUAACAAAAAAUCUAAAUUUUUAUAGUGUAAAGUACCGUGAGGGAAAGUAAUUAACUUUGGGUAGCUUUUAAUUUAUUAGCUUAUUAACAAUUUUUUUAAUAAAAAUGUGUACCUUUUGCAUUAUGGUUCAGGGAGUUAAAUUUAAUAGCAAGCUUAAGUAAAAUUAUAAAGCGUAAAAAAAUUGUUUUAGUAGUUAUUAAAUUUAGACACGAAACCGCUGUGAUCUAAUCAAAUUCAGGUUGAAAAUUUAGUAAAAAUAAAUGGGAAGACCGAAGUAGUGUUUGUUGCAAAAAACUUAUGUGAAAUUUGAUUUGGAGUGAAAGGCUAAUCAAACGCGGCGAUUGCUUGUUUUCUGCGAAAUUUUUUUUAGAAAAGCGUUUAAAAAUUAAAUUUAUAAGGUAAAGCACUGGUUUUUUUGAGGUUGAUUAAUUUCAUUACAAGAUUUUUCCAAACUCUGAAUUUAUAAAUAAUAUUUUAAACAGUCAGAUUGUUAGCGAGAAAGUUGAUAAUCAAAAGAGAAACAACUCCAAAUGAUUUUUAAGGUUUUAAAAUAAACUUUUAAAUAAAGAAAAUUUUUAGUUUGAACAACAUUGAAGUAAGCUUAGAAACAGCUAUCUUUUUUAUAAAAACGUAACAGUUUCAAUGCAAACACAAAAAAUUGUCCAAAAUAUAAUGAAAUUUAGGUUUUACCGAAAAAUCAUAAUAAAUAUAAAGUAUUUAUUGGUAGCAGAACGAUUUGUUUUUUUUUACCUUUUUGUGAAAAAUUGUACGUAAAAACUCAAAUUCGAUAAUCCUGAAAUUAGUAACAAAAAAAGUUAUAAAACUUUUCACCAGAUAUUUUAGGUUUUCUUCGUUAAAUUAUAUUUCGUUGAGUUAUACGAACUCUUAUUUUUAGGUAAAUACUUUAAAAAGAUGAGCAAUUGUAAGACAUAUCAGAUUUUAUUAACAAUUAAAUUCUUAUCAAAAACAAGAAUAAUGAGCUUUUUCUUUAUUUAAGGUUAAAAGAUUUCGCAAGUGAUUCUUCGGGAAAAAUUGAACUUGAUUUUUGUCUUACAAAAAUUCGUAUUUAAACCAAAAAAGGUUAAUUUGUUUAGCAAAAUAAUGGUGUAAAAAUUAAAGAAAAAUAUGGAACUCGGCAAACUAGCUCCGAACCUUAGGAAGAAGGAGUGGCAAUUUUAACAAAUAAAUUGCUGUAAAAAAAGGAAAUCCACAACUGUUUAUUAAAAACACAUGAUCAUGCCAAUUUUUAAAAGAAAGUAUAUGAUCUGACUUGUGCUAAAUGCUUGAAAAUUGAAAAAAAAAUUGUUUUGCUUUUUUAUAAAAACGAGCUAAUAGCAGUCUUAUUCCUGAGGAUUGUAAUGUAGCGAAAUUCCUUGUCCACUAAAUAUGGUCCCGCAUGAAUCAAGUAAUGAUGGAUUUGCUGUCAUGUUUUUCUGUUUUGUGAAUUUGAAGUAGGAGUGCAGAUUCUCUUUUCCAAAAUUAAGACGAAAAGACCCUAUAAAACUUUACUAAAAACAAUUAUUGCUAAAAUUCAACAUUCUGUUCAGAGUAAACAAGAGCUUAUGAAAUUUUUUAUUUAAAAAGUUGAAGCGGCGCUGAGAAAUUGUUCUUUAUUGGAUUAAAGCUAAUUUUUUAAAAAGACAGUGAUUGUUCGUUAGUUUCUUUGGGGCGAAGUUCUUUUAAAAGGUAACAAAGAAGUGCAAAGGCAAAUUAAUUUGAAAAAUUUCAUUUUAAAACGAAAAAGUAUAUAUUUGCUUAACUGUAAGGUUGAUAUACCAAGCAGAAAUUAACGUUGGCUUUAUUGAACCAACUUUUUUGAUUAAAAAAGAAGUUGUUCAUCAGAUAAAAGUUACUUUAGGGAUAACAGAAUUAUAAAAAUCAAGCGAUCAGAGCGAAAUUUUUGUUUGUGACCUCGAUGUCGAGUGCGAUCUGUUGUGCUGAAAUGUAAGAGACAUACUUACCGGGAUUCACGAUACUUCGGUAUUAACUGGUUAUUCAGAUAGGUGAAACUCCUAUAUGUCUUACUUCCAUAGACAUUGAUCAUACAUCCAAUGAUUAUAAAUUGGAGCGUCCCCAGCCGAAUUUGAGCCUAAAUCUCUUAUAAGGUGGAAGCGGGGGUAAAAGUAGCUGGUCUAUGUAUGCGUUGCAUAGUUCACUAUGAGAAUGGUUGUAUAAGGAUUACAGAAAGGAAACCAAUGUAGUAAAACGUCUUAAACGAGGAUUUCUGGGUUAUAACGCAGUGCUGAAAAGCGUCCAGGGGCCUAAAUAGAGGCAAUGUCGCGUUACAUUUGUGUAGAUGUAGAUAAUCUUACUUCGAACGACAGAAGGGGAUGGAAGUUAUAGCGUCAGGCGUAAAGUUGGGAUCCUAUACAAGAGAAAGAAUGAAUAACCGGAACAGAGUAACUUGUUAAUAGCUCCGAAGUAAGCCUUGUCUUCGUGCAAGCGACGGUGGGAUUUAGCUAUAUGCUAUUAACAAGAAGGAUUCGAUAAAAAGCAAAUGGUUCUGUGUAAUGUAAAACAUACGCUGACGUAUCGACGGUGCAGAUAUAUAAUAUACUGAAGAGGGUUUCGGAUCUUCUAUACCUUAAUAAUAAAUAAUAGAUGAAAUGAAAAAACAUGAAAUGAAAAGAGAUCAAAUGAUCUGAAAUUGAAUUAACUGUUUUUAACUUCCAAACACAAAUAUAUAAGCAAUCGCAGUUAGGUAAAGUGAAAGCCUGUCAGGAAUUUCAAAGAGAGCUUGUCAAGAGUUUAGAAGCUAAGCUUUUAGCCGUAAGACGAGUGACUCAGGAUAAUGCGGGUAAAUCGACAGCAGGGGUUGAUGGUGUCAAAACUGUUAAACCGGAUAAUAGAAUGGAGCUAGCAAGCUCACUAAUACUUGAUGGAAGUGCGUCCAAGAUACGUAGGGUUAAUAUAUCAAAAGGAAACGGUAAAAUGAGACCUCUUGGAAUACCAACUAUUAAAGAUCGCUGUAAACAAAUGUUAGUUAAACUGGCUCUUGAGCCAGAGUGAGAAGCAAAAUUUGAAAAUAACGUUUACGGUUUUAGACCUUGGAUACUCGGCUUUCGACGUGAAACAUUCGAUUAUUCGACAGAUUCAAGGCUCCGAAAUAUUUCCUCGACGCGGAUAUUAAAGGUUGUUUUGACAAUAUAAGUCACAAGAAACUUCUAGAGAAGCUUGCGACGCUACCAAUGUUCGAAAAACAAAUUAAGGCUUGACUUGAAGCCGGGAUUAUGGACGGCUUUAAAAAUGAAAUCAGUAGUCUAAAUAAAGCAGGCACGCCGCAAGGGGGGAUAAUCUCUCCGCUCUUGUGUAACGUUGCUCUCCACGGUAUGGAAACAUUACUACUUAAGAAUUUUCGUAGAGAUGGUGUAAAAAUCAUUCGAUACGCAGACGAUUUUCUAGUAAUGGGAAGGAACUUAGAAGAUAUAAAGAAAGCCAAAAGGAUUGUCGUAGACUUUCUUCAAACGGUGGACUUAGAAUUAUCGGAAGAGAAGACACGUAUUGGACAUAGUAUGCACAAAAUGAAUGAAGGCUCGAAAGCGGGUGUUGAUUUCUUAGGGUAUCACUUUAGAAAUUACGAAACUUCCAAACAUCGUGGUGUCAAGUCAACUCAUGGUGUGAAACAAAACUUUAAACAAGUGUCGAUGCCUUCAAAGGAUUCCGUUAAGAGUCAUAAAGAGGAUAUCAAAGACAUUCUAAAAAAGUAUAAAAACGCGCCACGAAAAGCAAUACUAGCGAGACUUUCAGCAAAUAUUCAAGGCUGGACUCAAUACCAUGCAGUGACACAGUGCAGUCGCUACUUUUCCUAUUUAGACAAGUGAUUGUUCUGGGCGCUUUUCCAUUGAGCGGUUAAGCGCUACAAAAGCCACGAGACAGCUAUUAAAAAGUGUUUUAGUGUAAAAGGGUGGAAAUUCGGAUUUAUUUCUGAAGGGAAAUCUUAUAUUCUAAAUCGCCCCGACCAGACGCUUGUUCGCAAGUAUGUUAAAAUCAAAGCAGGUGCUUCUAUAUAUAGUGGUGACAUAUUGUACUUCUGUAAUAGGAUGGUCGCAGCACAAUUCCAGAAUAAAGCGACUGGUUAAAUUGAUGAAAAGCCAAGAUUUUCGUUGUGAUUAUUUUAAGUUGCGCUUUAUGCCAUAUGAUUUAAUCGAGUUACAUCACGUUUUAGACGAUAAAAAGUCAAGAACUGGCGAAAUGAAAUUUCUUCAUCGACAUUGUCACGACAGCGUUCACGGUAGCCAUAACUAAACUGAAGAUUGCGCACUGAGGAGCCGUGUGAUGGGAGACUAUCACGCACGGUUUUGUAAGAGAGGUGAGGUUGGUAACAACCACAUCGACUCUAACUUUGUGGUAUCCUCGAGGCGAAGAAGUUUCGAAGGGUUUAACUGUUCGUUAAAUAAAACCGCACAUGAAUUGGGUUUAAAACGACGUAAGUCAGUUUUGUUUCUAUCUAAUUUUGGAUUAAAACUGAGGGGGUUCUUGUUUAGUAUGAGAAGAAUAAUAAGAAGAAGCAAAUUGUGAUUGGUUAUUUUCUAAAAAUACUCAACUAGCAACGCUUUAUAAAAUAAAAAAUGAAAGCAUCUAUUUUUAUUUAAGUUUUCCCCAAUAAAGGUUUUAUUUCUUUAUAAAAUGCUAAAAAUAGUAGUUUAAGACUAAAACUUAGAUCGGCAACUAGUUUUUCUUGUAAAUUUAAGCUUAGUUGUACGAAUUAAUUUAAAUUAAUACUUAGUCUUU